UACGAAGGGGGCUAGCGUUGUUCGGAAUUACUGGGCGUAAAGCGCGUGUAGGCGGUUGCCAAAGUCUGGUGUGAAAGCCUUGAGCUCAACUCAAGAAAUGCACUUGAUACUUGGUGACUAGAGUACCGGAGAGGAGAGUGGAAUUCCCAGUGUAGUGGUGAAAUACGUAGAGAUUGGGAAGAACACCAGUGGCGAAGGCGGCUAGCUGGACGGUUACUGACGCUAAGACGCGAAAGCGUGGGGAGCAAACAGG
rnacentral:rRNA from 1 species